rnacentral:rRNA from 1 species
CAGCAGCCGCGGUAAUACGAAGGGGGCUAGCGUUGUUCGGAAUCACUGGGCGUAAAGGGUGCGUAGGCGGGAUCUUAAGUCAGGGGUGAAAUCCCGAGGCUCAACCUCGGAACUGCCUUUGAUACUGGGGUCCUUGAGUCCGGAAGAGGUGAGUGGAACUGCGAGUGUAGAGGUGAAAUUCGUAGAUAUUCGCAAGAACACCGGUGGCGAAGGCGGCUCACUGGUCCGGAACUGACGCUGAGGCACGACAGCGUGGGGAGCAAACAGGAUUAGAUACCCCCGUAGUCCCUGUCUCUUAUAC